GCUUGGGUGAAUGUGGGGAGGGGGGCUUUCCCUAUUACCUUUAUUUACAUCAAUAUCCACUUUUCUCAUAGUAUAUGUUUUGAACUGAGUAAUAAAUAUUUCCUUGCGCAUAUUUAGUAACUCUGGUGGAGGACCGUAGCGAUUCUGCCGUGUAAAUUGAUAGUUAAACGUGAGCGUAGAGGCGAAGGACUACUCCCCAACCAUCUAGUAGCUGGUUCCCUCCGAAGUUUCCUUCAGGAUAGCUGGCGCUCAUUGGUAUAAUCAGUUUUAUCCGAUAUAGAGAAUGAUUUGAGGUUCUGGGUUUGAGGCGGAUUCAUCCCAUUCUCAAACUUUAAUAGGUUGAGAUGCUCGACUCGCUUAUGUUCGCGUUUGACAUAACUGCGCGGAUGUAAUUGCCAAGUGGCGCUGUGGGAUGAACCAAACGUGUGGUUAAAGUGUCUAAUGCUGUCGCGGUUCCAAGCGAUCCGUGACUCUGUACAGUGUCGUGGGUUGCCUCAUACGCUUUUGUGUGUGAGCGUAUGUACUGGCGGCCCCUCGGAGCAAAAGAGAAUCGUGUUAAUAUUCCUGACUCUAUGCUUGCAUCGACGCCUGCACCCCUUGGUGAGCGCUUGAGUAUGAAUUACUGACAUCAUCGAGUGCGGCAACGCAAGCGAACUCGGUGACGUCGCCAAGUGUUCCGGAAAGAGUUUUCAUUUCUUUGUAAGGACAUCUACCACUCCUGGAAUCGGGUUGUCCAGAGAUAGGGGUCUCGCCUCCGUAAAGCACGAGCCCUCUUGUGAUGUCCGGUAAACUCUUGCGAUUUUCGUGGCAGGCCGUACUCAUAUCCGCAUCAGGUCUCCAAGGUGUAGAGCCUCUGGCA
rnacentral:ncRNA from 1 species